rnacentral:rRNA from 1 species
GAUGAACGCUGGCGGCAGGCUUAACACAUGCAAGUCGAGCGAGCGGCGGACGGGUGAGUAAUGUCUGGGAAACUGCCUGAUGGAGGGGGAUCACUAGUGGAAACGGUAGCUAAUACCGCAUACCAUCAGAUGUGCCCAGAUGGGAUUAGCGAGGAGGUGGGGUAAUGGCUCACCUAGGCGACGCUCCCUAGCUGGUCUGAGAGGAUGACCAGCCACACUGGAACGUGGACACGGUCCCGACGCCGACGGGAGGCAUCAGUGGGGAAUAUUGCACAAUGGGCGCAAGCCUGAUGCAGCCAUGCCGCGUGUGUGAAGAAGGCCUUCGGGUUGUAAAGCACGUUCAGCGAGGAGGCGUUACUCGCAGAAGAAGCACCGGCUAACUCCGUGCCAGCAGCCGCGGUAAUUC